CCCUUAGAUGUCCUGGGCCGCACGCGUGCUACACUGACGCAUACAGCGAGCACCUUCCUGUUCCGAAAGGCUACAGGUAAUCAUCAAUAUGCGUCGUGAUGGGGAUAGAUCUUUGGAAUUCUGGAUCUUGAACGAGGAAUGCCUAGUAAUCGCAGGUCAUUAGCCUGCGAUGAUUAAGUCCCUGCCCUUUGUACACACCGCCCGUCGCUACUACCGAUUUCGAGUGGUCAGGUGAAUCUUUCGGACUGUGAACUUCCUUGAGUUGUUCGCGGAAAGUCAGGUAAAUCUUAUCACUUAGAGGAAGUAAAANUCGUAACA
rnacentral:rRNA from 1 species